rnacentral:sRNA from 1 species
UCGUCGCCGAGCAUCGAUGCCACAACACUC